rnacentral:lncRNA from 1 species
GUUUUUCUUCAUCUCCUUUUCUUUCUCUCUUCUCAUUUUUUUUCCUGAAAAUCUCCUGUAGCACUAAGAAUUCCUUUUUGUCCACCAUUUCAUUGCCAUCAGUAUCAAACAUGUUGAAAGCAAUUCUAAAACCUGCAUGUGGCUUUGUUAAAAUACAUAAGAGGAAUAAAUAUUCUGUGUAAGAUAUCACACCUUUCUCAUUAAGGUUACGGAAAAGUUUGGAUGAACCCUUCCAAAC